rnacentral:rRNA from 1 species
UACAGGGGGUGCAAACGUUGCUCGGAAUUAUUGGGCGUAAAGCGCGCGUAGGCGGCUACUUAAGUCGGAUGUGAAAGCCCUUGGCUCAACUGAGGAAGUGCACCCGAAACUGAGUGGCUUGAGUACUAAAGAGGGUCGCGGAAUUCCCGGUGUAGAGGUGAAAUUCGUAGAUAUUCGGAAGAACACCAGUGGCGAAGGCGACUCACUGGACAACUGUUGACGCUGAGGUGCGAAAGCGUGGGGAGCAAACAGG